rnacentral:rRNA from 1 species
CCUACGGGAGGCAGCAGUGAGAAAUAUUGGUCAAUGGGCGGGAGCCUGAACCAGCCAAGUCGCGUGAGGGAAGACGGUCCUAUGGAUUGUAAACCUCUUUAGGCGGGGAGCAAUGCCGGGCACGCGUGCCCGGAGGGAGAGUACCCGCAGAAUAAGCAUCGGCUAACUCCGUGCCAGCAGCCGCGGUAAUACGGAGGAUGCGAGCGUUAUCCGGAUUGAUUGGGUUUAAAGGGUGCGUAGGCGGAUUUUUAAGUCAGCGGUAAAAUGUCCGGGCUCAACCCGGGCCGGCCGUUGAAACUGGGGAUCUUGAGUGGGCGAGAAGUAUGCGGAAUGCGUGGUGUAGCGGUGAAAUGCAUAGAUAUCACGCAGAACUCCGAUUGCGAAGGCAGCAUACCGGCGCCCGACUGACGCUGAGGCACGAAAGCGUGGGGAUCGAACAGGAUUAGAUACCCCAGUAGUC